GCCUAGCCGUAAACCAAGGUAGCACUAAAUACCCCCUACUCGCCAGAGAACUACAAGUGAAAAACUCAAAACUCCAAGGACUUGGCGGUGCCCCACAUCAGCCUAGAGGAGCCUGUCCUGUAAUCGAUAAUCCACGCUCUACCCAACCACCUUUUGCCCUCAGCCUAUAUACCGCCGUCGUCAGCCUACCCUGUGAAAGAAGCGCAGUAGGCAGAAUAGUUAUUAACUAACACGUCAGGUCAAGGUGUAGCACAUAAGGCGGAAGAGAUGGGCUACAUUUUCUACCACAGAAAACACGAACAGCUCAAUGAAACUUGGGCUAAAAGGCGGAUUUAGAAGUAAGACUAACCAGCAUUUUUGUCUUAAACUUGCUCUGGGGCGCGCACACACCGCCCGUUACCCUA
rnacentral:rRNA from 1 species